rnacentral:rRNA from 1 species
GAUGAACGCUGGCGGCGUGCCUAAUACAUGCAAGUCGAGCGGACGGACGAGGAGCUUGCUUCGCUGUUGUUAGCGGCAGGCGGGUGAGUAACGCGUGUAUAACCUCCCUAUCAGUCGGGGAAAACUUCGAAACACCGGAUCUAAUACCGUAGGAUAUUUUGAACCGCGUGGUGCAAAGGUGAAAUACGGUGUUGCUGUCUCUUCUAGAUGGUUCCGCGCUGCAUUAGCUAGUUGGUAAGGUAACGGCUUACCAAGGCAACUAGGCAUAGCCGACCGGUGAGGGUGAUCGGCGACAUGGGAACUGAGACAGGGUCCAGAGGACUACGGGAGGCAGCAGUAGGGAACGGGCGGCAGUGGGCGAAAGUAUGACGGAGUAACGGCGCGUGAGUGAUGAAGAUGUUCGGAUCGUAAAACUCUGUUAUGGGGGAUGAACAUAUGUGUAAGUAAAUGUGGAGAGCGUGACGGUAACGAAUCAGAAAGCCACGGCUAACUACGUG